GAUGAACGCUGGCGGCGUGCUUAACACAUGCAAGUCGAGCGAGAGAGUUCUUCGGAACAAUCUAGCGGCGGACGGGUGAGUAACACGUGGGCAACCUGCCUCAUAGAGGGGAAUAGCCUUCCGAAAGGAAGAUUAAUACCGCAUAACAUCGUUGAAGGGCAUCCUUCGAUGAUCAAAGGAGUAAUCCGCUAUGAGAUGGGCCCGCGGCGCAUUAGCUAGUUGGUAAGGUAACGGCUCACCAAGGCGACGAUGCGUAGCCGACCUGAGAGGGUGAUCGGCCACAUUGGGACUGAGACACGGCCCAGACUCCUACGGGAGGCAGCAGUGGGGAAUAUUGCACAAUGGGGGAAACCCUGAUGCAGCAACGCCGCGUGAGUGAUGACGGCCUUCGGGUUGUAAAGCUCUGUCUUUGGGGACGAUAAUGACGGUACCCAAGGAGGAAGUCACGGCUAACUACGUGUCAGCCGCCGCAGUAA
rnacentral:rRNA from 1 species